rnacentral:lncRNA from 1 species
GUAAGAGUUUCAGUUGGCUGGGUUUCGCUUUCAGUUUUCACCCUUUCGGCUUGCUGUACAGACUGCUGCCACACCGGCUGGCUAGGUUGCUCUAGUCUUUAUCCAGUAGCUGAUGGAAGCAGAAGCAGACACCCACGGCUAAACACUGAGCUGAACUCUGGAAUCCAAUUGCAGAGAGGGAGGAGUGAUGAGAAAAGGGGUCAAGACAAGGCUGGAGAAACCCACAGAAAUAGCUGACCUGAACAAGGGGGAGCUCAUGGACCCCAGACUCAUAGCUGGGAAACCAACCCAGGACUGUUCCAGAUCCUCUGAAGAAGAAAGAAGAAAAUUACUGAAAAAAAAAGAAAGCAAGGCUAAGUUUGUUUUCUCUCUGCUCUUGACUGUGAAUGGGAUGUGACUAGCUGCUUGAGUUCCUGCCUUGCCUUCCCUGAAAUGAUAGACUGUGACCUGGAAUUGUAAGCCAAAUAAACCCUUUCUUCUAAAUAAAAGAAGAAUAGAACAUGAAAUGACUGUUCUUACACAGUUGCCCAUGAUUUAAUGUACUAUAAGAUUUUGGCUAUAUAAUAUAACUGUAGAGAAAUAAUAUAAAAUCCAGACCUAUUACAUUAAAUGUGCAUUUUUUACAAUUUCUCAAAGAUGAACUGAAAUUUUCCACAUGGGUUGAUUUCCUGAAUUUGAGUACAGUUAAAUAGAGUGACAGUAACUUGGAAAUAUAAUUAAGCUUUAGUUUUAAUGUGUAGUUUAAUUUCUUGACAUAGUUUAUGUAUUCUUCAUUAAAACUGAUGUAAGAAAU